CUCAUAAGAAAAGUUUGAUACAGCAUCUCUAGCUCGGUGACCUAGAUAGGGCACAGAGCAACAGCGCUUCCGUAAUUUGGUUAUUGCCAGCUCUCUAGAGCAAUAAAGCUGAGCAAACUCUCAGUUGCCAUCGUUACUCAGUUUGCAGUAAUCAUCUGUAAAUUGCCUGCUUGUCAGGAUUGGUGGAAUAGUUAGGGAGGAGAGGAUAAGAGCUAACCAGAGCAGAAGCUGAAUUUUCCAAAACAGCAAAAUACCCUCCAACGCGCUUAAAUAUCACCUCCGGGCUCAGUGAUCCAUCCCCACCCAAGACCUCGCCGGACUGCUACUCCAAGCCGCCAAAGAGCCACAUACGGCCAAGGACAACGAGUUCCGAGCUUAAAGGAAAAUAGCUUCCCUCGCUGGCCACUUCUCCCUUCGGAGGCUCUCAUGAUGUGACCGUUCGUCUCUAUUUUGAAACACUCAUCUCAAUUAUUCCCUGCAAUACGUCAGGAAAGGAGGACCCUCACGACAAACACGACAUAGUCAUUGAAUUAACAGGAAAAUGGGGAAACUCUGGUGGAACUUUAUAGGGACAACAUCUACUAAAACCGGCUUUUCUUCAACAAAUGAGAAUAUGGAAGUAAUUUUGUGGCUAAUGAACACAGAAUACUUGAGAUAUGCAGCAAGCUGCCAUGUAACUCUAGAUUCCUGAAAUUGGUGGUAUGAAAACAGCUCUAAGGCUGCUUUUGAGCAGGGAUUAUAGUCAAUCCUACACCACUAAAGUAAUUACAGCAGAAAAAAGACCAUUUUCAACAAAGUUGAAGAAUUUCUCUGAUUUGCAUUAAAUAUUUGUCAUUUUCUUGGCUUGUGUUUCUCCUUUCAUCACUGCGCUGUAUGCGAGAUCAUGUGUUUCAAGGCUGGCUCAUUCUCAUUUAGGUUCAAAUCAAAUUCUACACUGUUCUUUUGGAUGCAGGGGUUUCCCUGAAGUUAAACGGAGUUUCCUCCACUUUUGUUGAGAUCUAAAGAAGCGGGAUUUCAGUUCCUCACUCAUCACUUGAAUCACUCCGGUGUGUCUACCCUCAGCUUUCUUGCUACUUUCUCCCUCCAUCAUACUCUGUUAGCAGAUAAUAAAGCCCUUCUAUCAUAUUUUCUAUGUGUCAACCAUGUUCUAAGCACUGUACACCUAUUGCCUCAAUGACACCCUAUGAGGAUAUGGCAGAAUAUACGGGCCCAGAUGCAGGUAGUUGGGAGACAGGGCAGUGGAAGCACAUAAAAGAUGUCUUCUCAAUCCUUCUGGUCUCUGUAAAUGAGAAAUAGGCCAUACUCAUUUUAAAGAUGAGGAACCCGAAGCACAGAGAGAGAGCAAGCAGUUUGUUCAAGACCACCUAGCUGCAAAGUGGCAGAACUAUGAUUUGAAUCCGAGCAGUCUGACUCCAGAGUCUGUACUCUUAGCCGUCAACACUACUGCAGAAUUCCUCCCUGGUUAAAUUCAACUCUGUACUUCCCCUGCCUGUACUUGGGAAGCUGAAUAGAGCUGAAGAAAAACGACCAUGCAGGCUGUUCUCCCUUCACAUUCAUGCCUGGGCAUAGCCUCAAAAGCCACUCUACUUUUGAAUUCUGUUCAUUUGUUGAUUAUUUCACACCUUUUCUCUCUUUAAACCUUUGCUGCCACUUCUCCAGUCUUCAUUGCUGACGACUUGUUUCCCAUUUCAUGGAGAAAAUGGAAACAGUCAGAAGAGAGCAUCCACCUGCUUCCACCGCCCUUCUACUGACCCACCUGUAUGGGGCCCCAUGUACUCUGCCUGCCCUUUACCAUGGAUGAAAGCCUAUGUUCCUGUCUAAAUUCAGUAGCUUCUUGUUCUGCACUGGAUCCCACUCCCCUACCUUCUCCAGGAUUUCUCUCUUUCAAAUGUAUCCCCUCUCCUGUAUCAUCAGUUUUCCUACCCCUACUGAAUCAUUCCCAUCAGUAUACAGAUGUACUGUAAUAUCUCCUCUUAAAAACAAAAACAGACUUCUGGUUUCUGGUCUGGCAUGUGAGGAGCUUGGCAAUUGUCAUUCUGUCCUAACAACAAGUAAAAAACUGAACAAAUUGAAAAAUCAACAACUUUUCAUGGAUCCAUCAGAGAAGUGAGGUUACAGGCAAACCCCAAAAUUGGAGAGCUAGGCAAAUAUAGAGAAGAAUAACUUAUUGGAGGAGAAACCUACAUGAGGAGCAGUACGGGGCUAGGAAAACCUGAACUGUAAUUGCCAAAUUGCUGGAGGCUCAGUGUGCACAAGUCUGAGACUUUAAAACCCCAGGGGGACCCAGUCCCUGGGAGGCCCCCACAGUUUUGUGAGUUUUACUUCCAGGAGCCCUACCUAGUUCUCACGGUGAAUGUCAGAGAAAAAUCCGCUUGUGCUUCUAGCAGGGGGAGAAGAAAAGGAACCAUUUUGAAAUAUGCAAAAGCAUUCUCUUCUUCACAAGGCCUGCCCAUAAAAGAAACUUUUCACCAGAGCCUAAACUAUUGGGAUUUUAUCAGAGCCUAACCAACGUGGGGGAAGGGAAAUAAGCAACUCCAGCUGGCUCCAGCCUUCUACAUGGGAGAAGGGAAAUACCCAACGUCAGUCCCUCUGGCCUUCCACUGGGGGAAGGGAAGCACCAAGUCCAGCCCCCUCUAGCCAACCUGUCCCACAUAAGGGGGGCAAAAAGUGAGAAGCGCUUGUGAAGUUCAGAGGCACAGGCUGUCUAAAAGACCAACACCUAAUGAGAGGACCAUAGAAUGUUUUCCCUCCUCCCGCACCUCACCACCACGUUACUAAAGGCCUGCAAUUCAUUCUAUCCAGUAUAUCAUGCCUGGCUGUCAAGAAAAAAUUAAAAAGCAUACUAGAAGGCAAAAAAUCAGUUUGAAGAGUCAACAAGCAUCAGAAGUAGACUCAGAUAUUGCAGGGAUAUUGGAAUGAUCACACCAGGAAUUUAUAACAACUGUGAUUAAUAUGCUAAGGUCUCUAAUGGAUACAGUAGACAGCAUGCAAAAUCACUAUUUUGUAAUGUAAGCAGAGAGGUGGAAAUUCUAAGAAAGGACAAAAGAUAAAUACUAGAGUUCAAAAAAUGCUGUAACAGAAAUGAAGAAUGCCUUCAGUGGGCUUAUUGGUAGACUGGACACAGCUGUGAAAAGAAUCUUUGAGCUUGAGGAGGUCUUAACAGAAACCUCCGAAAUUGCAAAGCAAACAGAAAAAAGACUGAAAAAACCCAAACAAAUCCAGAACAGAAUAUCUAAGAAAGGUGGGACAACUAUAAAACAUAUAACAUACACGUAUUAGGAAUACCUGAAGGAGAAGAAAGAGAAAUGAAAGAGAGGACAUCACUACAGAUCCCAUGGACAUUUAAAGGAUAAUUAUAUACUUCACAAAAAUUAACUCAAAAUGGAUCAUAGACCAAAAUGUAAAAUGCAAAAUUAUAAAACUCCUAGAAGAUAACAUAGGGGAAAAUCUAGAUGAACUUGGUAUGGUGAUGACUUUUUAGAUACAACAUCAAAUCCAUGAAAGAAAGAACUGAUAAAGUGGAUUUCAUUAAAACUAAGGACUUCUGCUCUGUGAAAGACAAUGUCAAGAGAAUGAGAAGACAUGCCUCAGAGUGGGAGAAAAUAUUUGCAGAAGACAUAUCUGAUACAGGACCAUUUUACAAAACAUACAAAGAACUCUUAAAACUCAACAAUAAGAAAAUGAACAACAGCAUUAAAAAAUGAGCUGAAGACCUGAACAGACACUCUAUCAAAGAAAAUAUGUAGAUGGAAAAUAAGCAUAUGAAAAGAUAUUUGACAGUAUGUGUCAUUAGGGAAUUGGAAAUUAAAAUAACAAUGAGAUACCACUACACACUCAAUAGACUGGCAAAAAUCCAAAACACUAACACUGAAUGCUGGUGAGGAUGCAGCAAUAGGAACUAUCAUUGCUGGUGGGAAUGCAAAAUGGUACAGUCACUUUGGAAGAUAGUUUGGCAAUUUCUUAUAAACUUAAACAUAUAAGAUUCAGCAAUUGCACUUCUUGGUACUUACUGAAAUGAGUUGAAAAGUUAUGUCCACACAAAAAAUUGUACAUGAAGAUGCUUAUAGCAGCUUUACUCAUAAUUGCCAAAAUGUGGAAGUAAUAAAGAUGUCCUUAAAUAAACUGUGGUACAUCCAGUCAAUGGAAUAUUAUUCAGUGCUAAAAAGAAAUGAGUUAUCAAGCCAUGAAAAGACAUAGAGGAACCUUAAAUGUAUGUUACUAGUGACAGAAGUCAGUCUGAAAAGGUUACAUACUGUAUCAUUCCAACUGUAUGACAUUCUAGAAAAGGCAAAAGUAUGGAGAUAAUUAAAAGAUCAGUUG
ensembl:lncRNA